UUCCUUGUCCUGCUCUUCAAAACCCCUCAGAUCAUAUGCUAAAAUGUAUAAACAAGGACUUCGAUCAGUUGAAGAAAAUCAAGUGCCUCUUCUCUUGGACCUUCAAGUUGAAGAUGCAAAAUAUGUGUUUGAGUCAAAGACCAUUCA